ensembl:lncRNA
CUGAAGCAUUGUUCUAAGGGAUGAGAUGCAAACUAAACAUGAUUUAAUCAUGCAUUAUGUCACGUAACUGCUUAUGGGCAUUAACUCUUCUGAUGACCACCAUGACAACAUAUUACUCAUGACAUGGUCACGAUUUGUAUUUUGGGAAGCAUGACUCCAGUUCUGUCCCAGUUUCAGCCGGUAUGUGAUGCAGGCACCUCUAGAGCGCUGAAUGCCAGCAGGGGUCUGUUGCCCAUUCAGAUCCUUAUGUAAAUCAGCAGCUGGUACCUCACUCUAGCCUGUGGCUUUGCAUGUUAAAAUGCUUCCAGUGCUUCCAGUGAAACUCACCCAAAACCACAAGGGAUAAGAUAAGACUGGAAAAGAACUGAUCCACUGCGGUGUCUCCUCCUCCUCCUCAUCAUUAUGGCUCUGGGGUUUUCCUGACCUCUCUGUUUAUCCGGAUCAUCUCAAUUGCUUCACCAGAAACCUGUGAGAGGAUGUGAGUGUAGUGAUCAUUGGGCAGAAAAGCCACAAAAGACCAAAAAGUACAAAACAACAUGAUGAACAUCUGCUAGCUGAGCAGAAUGCAAAGCUGCAUCUUUGGCUCCGAGUUACUGGCAUCCUGGAGAGAUGUUAAAAGUCCAGAUUUCAGACCUUUCGGCCUGCUCCCUCUAGGAUGCCAGUUACAAAGAAAGCUUUACAGAGAGUGGAAGAGAAAAAAAACACAACUUGAUGAACAUGUGCAUAGACUAGGAGCAAUACAUGUUGUGUUCACACUACAUUCUCUUUACAUCUGCCUAGUGAUCAACACUGCUGUGCAAUUGUUUGAGGAUUUUCCACAUUUUCCUUUAUAGAUAAGCUGAAGUUACAGUCAAAACGACUGACUAUGCAAGACUGUAAUGACAAAGCUUUCCAGUAGUGCCAUGAGUCAGAGACAGACACUCAAAACAAAUGAAAUGCCUAAAAGCGGAAAUGACAAAUCACUCCUCUAAGUACGAUAUAUUUAUAGUCACUCAAAAAUACAAAAACGAACACAACACAUCUGCUUGAAGGGAAAAAAAAAAAUACAUAUUUAACUAAAAUUAAAAUUAAAAUAUAAUUAAUCCCAUAAAAUAAAAACAUUUCCAAUACUUGAAAUAAAAUAAACGUUAACUGAAUUAAAAAAUAAAAAUUAUAUAUAUAUAUAUAUAUAUAUAUAUAUAUAUAUAUAUAUAUAUAUAUCAGAUAGUUGCCAAAAUAGCAUUUCUUAUUUUAAUCAAGUUUAACUUGAUGUAGUAAAAUAACUUACAAAUAUGCAAUUGUAAAUUAUAAUAAAAAAAUAAGUAAACAUAUACAGUAUAAAAGAGAAAAUAGACAUAUUAAAAUACAGAAAAUUACAGACAUGACAAAAACAUGCAACAAAAUUACUGCAACUUUAACUAAAUUUGAAAUGAAAACAGAAAAUAUACUGACUCAAAAUAUUAUUAAAACAAUAAAAGUAUCUUACUGAUACUAACAUAACACUGAAUAGAAGAUGCAAAGUCAUUAUCAUAAACAAAUUUAUAUUUCACAAGAGUCACACAAAUAUUUACUUGGCAAACACAUCCUUUUAUUUGAAACAUUAACACACCCUUAACAUUUGACUAUUAUUUUCUUUAAUCAUCUGAUGACUUUUGUUUGUUUCCAUGCACUAUUACAAUUAAAGAAGUAGUUUGUCUAAAAUGAAUGUAUCCUCAUGUUAUUUUAAACCUGUAUUACUUUUAUCCUUCCAGAAUAUUCCAGAAAAAUAGUAUUAAUAUUUAAAAAAACUUAUGCAAAAGUAUCCAAACCAUAGUAAUAAUAAAAAUACUGUAGCUUUGGGCAAGAAACAGAUUGAUUGGUUCAAUUUAUGAAUAAAUUAUUAAUGAACUGGUUCAGUAACUGGCUCAACUGCUUCACUGACAAGAUUUGACUUUAGGGAAUUAAUAAUUUACAAAAUACUACUCCCUGGGCCUGAGAGCUAAAACAAAGGUCACGAUAUUAGGAUGAGAGAUUUUUUAUUUUAUUUCAUUUUUGGGCGGGUUGUUCCUUAAACAUAUCAAAGACUGAACAUUGUGUCCAAAGCAAAUACAAAAUAAAUUCUUUUACGAUGACUCUGCAUGAUACAGUAGACUAGAACGGCUUUAAUGUCAUAAUCUGUUCUCUCAGUACACGUUGUUUCUUGCUGGACAUGCUUGUCCGGGAAAGAACAGUUCUUAUUUAUUGCAGAUAUCAGAAAACAUGCAGGUAUGAUUGUGGCUUGUGGAGGUGUUAGUAGGAUAAUCUUAUUCAGACCGCUAUGCAAAAAGAGACCAAACCAAAGAUGCAGCUUGUCGGAUUUUAAAUAAUGUGGAGCUUCCUCUUCACUUUUCUCCCUGAAUGAUAAAUGCAUUUCAGUAACAGUAACCCACAAACUGGAUUGAAAUCUAAUGUGCAUGCAAUGGCAUGUGUGGGAACAGAAGGCCUCAUUACAGAGAUAAUAAUCUCCUCUGAUCCUACUGAGCUUUGGUUAAAGUGGUGGCAGUUCAUAACUUGCUCUGUGGGAGUAAAACCAACAGCCUUCUGGUUACCAGCCUUGAGCAGCUCUUAUUAAAUUAAUGUUUUCAUAAAUAAAGAUUUACUCACCCUUAGGCCAUCCAUUGUAUCUUAAUCGGAACAAAUUUGGAGAAAUUUAGCAUGACUUCACUUGCUCACCAAUGGUUCCACUGCAGUGAAUGGGUGCCGUCAGAAUGAAAGUCCUAACAGCUGAUAAAAACACCUUAAUGAUGAAUUUCUUAACUUUAUCGCUUCAGAAGAUGUUAUUUUGGUGGACUGUUGUCAUGUGGAUUACUUGUGGAUUAUUGCAAGGUUUUUAUCAGCUGUUUAGACUCUCAUUCUGACGGCACCCAUUCACUGCAGGCAAUCCAUUGUUGGUGAGCAAGUGAUCCAACGCUAAAUUUCUCCAAAUCUAUCCAAAUAUACCUUGGAUGUUAUGAGGGCAACUACAUUUUCAGCAAAUCUUUAUUUUGGGGUGAACUAUUCCUUUAAUCAUCUGCUACUUCAAACAGUCAUUAAAAGAACAGAGAUGGAAUGACUUUGAAGAUCGUGUAGUGUAUGGGCAUGCAUUAUUACUUAAGGCUAGAAUGGUGAUAAAUCAAAGCUUUUGUAGCGUUCAAACUUGCUACCUUGAUUUGACGCCCUCGUUUGUGACCCAAAUACUUUGUAAGAAUUUACAAGGUGACUAAGUCAACUCUGUGACUCUUAACACGCUGAUCUCUAGAAGGUUUCAGGAUGUAUCAUGUUCACCUCCUAGAGAUGAAUAAACAUGGAGUAACUCCUGAAACUCCAGGCAUGCAGAGUAAGCAGGUCUGGGACACAAAUUUCUGACUCAAGUGGUCCUCUGAGUCUCUUAUUUUCUAAGUGGAAGCAGACGCCUUCCAACAUGUGUCUCAUGGCCUGCUGCCAGGAUGUUACAACGACUGAGAAGAUGCCUUAUUGCGAUCUUUGAGAGAUCUUUAUGAUAGGAAUGGGGAGGUCAAUUUGGAAAUGUCGAUUUUUGUAAAAUGAUUUACAUGAGAAUCAUUGUAUAUCCUAACCUUCAAAGUUAGAAAGAAAUGAUUUUUUAGUAAAAAGUUAUAAGUUAAUAGUGUUCAGUCAAACAAAGAGCGAUGUUUACAUUGGCAGAAAAAAACCUGAGCAUAAGAAACUUUGCAACUUUUUCAAGUUUUUCACAAACAUGGGAAAAUCUUAUGAAUGUCACUUUAGGGGCCCUGCCUUUGAGAUGUGAAAGUAUAAUUUUGAGUCAUCUAAUUAUUCUAUUAAUGGCAAAGCAUUAUCUGACAUUCAUGUAUUUAUUUUUUGCAGUUUGAUGUAACUUUUAUAUAAAUGAUAUAUUGCAAACUGUAGAAAUACAGAAAUGUCAACACAGUUAAGAAAUGAUAAACAAACAAAAAAAAUGCAGUUUAUGAUUAAAUAAUGGCUUUUUAUUAAUAAUAUAUAUUGAAACCACUGAGCUUCAAUCUCACAAUCACAUAACUAAUAAUAUAACAUAAUGUGCAAUAAAUUCCCAUUGCGCUUACAUGGGCUUAUUAUUUAGUUUGUCGGAUCAUUUGUACAAACACAGAUCUUGCUGUUGAAAUUGAUUCAAAUAUGAAACCCAAUACAGAAUGAUACACUUUUUGACUGAACGUGUAUAAUGGAGAAAGAGAUAGCUCUUUCUAAAACAAUAGCUCUUGAACUUGUUGUGGAUGUAGUUCAUGGAUUACGUAGUUAUUGUUGCCCCAUUAAGCGUCUGACUUCCUCUAAUUGUUAUUAUGGAAAUGACAUUCCUCGUUAGUGAACUAUUUUUCUUAUCUUAUUAUAACUUAUAGGAAAUUGUCA